rnacentral:rRNA from 1 species
AACGAACGUUAGCGGCGCGCCUAAUACAUGCAAGUCGAGCGAGAAAGGGAUUCGUCCCCAGUAAAGCGGCGCACGGGUGAGUAACACGUAGGUCAUCUACCCUCGGGUGGUGGAUAACAUUCCGAAAGGAGUGCUAAUACAGCAUAACACCGCAAGGACAAAGCGGGCCUCUCUAUAGAAGCUCGCGCCUGAGGAUGAGCCUGCGGCCCAUCAGCUUGUUGGCAGUGUAAAAGACUACCAAGGCUAAGACGGGUAGCUGGUCUGAGAGGAUGAACAGCCACACUAGAACUGAGACACGGUCCAGACUCCUACGGGAGGCAGCAGUAGGGAAUCUUGCGCAAUGGGCGAAAGCCUGACGCAGCGACGCCGCGUGAGUGAUGAAGGCCUUCGGGUUGUAAAGCUCUGUGGGGAGAGAAGAAUAAGUGCAAGCUAAUACUUUGCAUGAUGACGGUAUCUCCUUAGCAAGCACCGGCUAACUCUGUGCCAGCAGCCGCCGUAA